GACGAACGCUGGCGGCGUGCUUAACACAUGCAAGUCGAGCGGUAAGGCCCUUUCGGGGGUACACGAGCGGCGAACGGGUGAGUAACACGUGGGUGACCUGCCCUCAGCUCUGGGAUAAGCCUGGGAAACCGGGUCUAAUACCGGAUAUGACUCCAUGACGCAUGUUGUGGGGUGGAAAGCCUUGUGCGGCUGAGGAUGGGCCCGCGGCCUAUCAGCUUGUUGGUGGGGUGANGGCCUACCAAGGCGACGACGGGUAGCCGGCCUGAGAGGGCGACCGGCCACACUGGGACUGAGACACGGCCCAGACUCCUACGGGAGGCAGCAGUGGGGAAUCUUGCGCAAUGGGCGAAAGCCUGACGCAGCGACGCCGCGUGAGGGAUGACGGCCU
rnacentral:rRNA from 1 species